GAUACUAACCAAUUAAUGAUUUAGACGUUGUCACUAAAAAAGAACAAAUUGAACAAAAUUUUGGACCGUUUUCAACACUGAAAAAAGUCGAUGACCACUUUGACAAAACUUAAAAAAAAAAAGAACCAAAAUAGGUAUUAAUCCUAAAUUCUAAUUAACUAGGUAUCUUUGGGUGUUGCUCCCUCCACCUCUCCAAGUGAGACCUGCACCUCCCCACUAAUUUAAUUUAUUUUAAAAAUAUUCUACACCUCCCCACUAUUUUCUUUUAUUCCAAAAAUACCCUACACCUCCCCACUAUCCUUAACAAUCUUUCUCUUUCUCUCUCUACAUUAAUGGAGCAUUUACAUGGCUCAUUAAUGGACCACUUACAUGAUUCAA
rnacentral:lncRNA from 1 species